UGUAGACCAGGUUGGCCUCAGACUCAGAGA
rnacentral:piRNA from 1 species